CGUAGGGUGCGAGCGUUGUCCGGAAUUAUUGGGCGUAAAGGGCUCGUAGGCGGUUUGUCGCGUCGGGAGUGAAAUCCACUGGCUUAACUGGUGGCUUGCUUUCGUUACGGGCAGACUGGAGGUAUGCAGGGGAGAACGGAAUUCCUGGUGUAGCGGUGAAAUGCGCAGAUAUCAGGAGGAACACCGGUGGCGAAGGCGGUUCUCUGGGCAUGUCCUGACGCUGAGGAGCGAAAGUGUGGGGAGCGAACAGGAUUAGAUACCCUGGUAGUCCACACUGUAAACGUUGGGCGCUAGGUGUGGGAUCCAUUCCACGGGUUCCGUGCCGCAGCUAACGCAUUAAGCGCCCCGCCUGGGGAGUACGGCCGCAAGGCUA
rnacentral:rRNA from 1 species